AUUGAACGCUGGCGGCAGGCCUAACACAUGCAAGUCGAGCGGGGUUUUCGGACCUAGCGGCGGACGGGUGAGUAAUGCGUAGGAAGCUACCCGAUAGAGGGGGAUACCAGUUGGAAACGACUGUUAAUACCGCAUAAUGUCUACGGACCAAAGUGUGGGACCUUCGGGCCACAUGCUAUCGGAUGCGCCUACGUGGGAUUAGCUAGUUGGUGGGGUAAUGGCUCACCAAGGCGACGAUCCCUAGCUGGUUUGAGAGGAUGAUCAGCCACACUGGAACUGAGACACGGUCCAGGCUCCUACGGGAGGCAGCAGUGGGGAAUAUUGGACAAUGGGCGCAAGCCUGAUCCAGCCAUGCCGCGUGUGUGAAGAAGGCCUUCGGGUUGUAAAGCACUUUCAGUAGGGAGGAAGGGUGUUGUGUUAAUAGCACAGCAUUUUGACGUUACCUACAGAAGAAGCACCGGCUAACUCUGUGCCAGCAGCCGCGGUAAGAC
rnacentral:rRNA from 1 species